CCACUUCUUCGACUGACUGCCCGUCUAUCGCAUCAGAUGCCUUUCUCUUCUUGCACAAUACGAGAGUCGUACCGCUUGGUACUGCCGUUCCUCCGUCCGGCAACCUGGGCAGACCCUGCUCUCUGGAGAGGAAGCAAGACCAAAGCAGCGCCCUGUUCCCCGGGCACCUCUCUGGACUUUGAACUAACUGCCCUGCUGGCAGCCACCGAGUGAGGUGUGGACCUUCGAAACUUGCAGAGGCAUUUUCUCCGGCUAACAGCGCAAGACAAGCCAGUAAACCACCUCCAGGGUUCACGGAAAGGUUGCUUCGAAAGAGGAACCGAAACCAUCUCAAUGGACACCUGGACCAGGGAAGAAGAGGAACCUCCCUUCAAAGGGCUGCCCCCCUUACCUAAAGUGUUUUGGGGGGCCCAUCCAUCUCAGGAACUUCUACCUGGGGUGGCAGAACAGGAAGAGACCAAGCCACUGGAGGGGAACUGCACCAGCCUCCAUGGAAAAAUCUCCUGGGUCCAGAAUGAAAUGCUGAGUCUGCGAAGGACUGACCUGGCGCUUUUUCAUCGGCUCUACCUCCUGGCCCUAGAGAUCCAGGACCUCAGUGAGUUACACCAGGAGAUGGAAACCUUCU